rnacentral:lncRNA from 1 species
CCCGUACCCGCUGGGGUUCCCGACACGCCCUGGCUUCAGGCAGGGCUGGAUUCAGGGACAGGGGUUCCAGCAGCCUCAGCUUUAAGUGGGGAGUUAAGGGGUUCAAUGUCGACAGGAAAAAUAGAAUUUUAUGAAGCUCUGAGCAAAGUCCCGAGUCCUCUCUGAAUGGGAUCUUCAGGCCGCCAAGUCCCUGCAGCUCGGGGGUGUGAAGCUGUGACUGACAGGCCUCGGUCUACCGAGACCACAGACUGAGGAGGCAGAGGCGGGCCCUAAAACUAGAUGGGAACGGACACCGUAGGGGGCCAGGUCCCCACCUGAGGCCCACCUGCCUCACUGGACCAGCACCGGGGCUCGAGUCUGCACCCCACCUACCCACCUCCCCGCAGUGUCCCGGCCACCCCACGCAGCUCUCUGGACAUCGUGUCCCGGCUGCCCCACACAAGUCUCUGAGGCCCGGGCAGCUCUCUGGACACCUUUCUGCUACUUGUGCCACACUGUUGGUUCUUGGGCCCGAGCUGUUCCCACCUCCCAUGCCCAGCAGGUCCCGGUUAUGUCCCGGUUAUGUCCGGUUUACGUCCUGGUUAUGUCCAGGUUAUGUCCCGGUUGUGUUCCGGUUAUGUCCUGGUUAGGUCCGGGUUAUGUCCGGGUUAUGUCCGGGUUAGGUUCCGGUUAUUUCUGGGUUAUGUCCGGGUUAGGUCCUGUUAUGUUCCGGUUAUUUCCAGGUUAGGUCCCAGUUAGGUCUGGGCGCAUCUGUCAGUCAUUGCUGUGUCCCAGCGAUGGCAAAUCUCAGUGUCUGCGGCCGUGAGCGCUCACAUUCUUCUCAGCUCUGCAGGUCAGCUGCAGGGCUCCCAUCCACCCCAGGGAGGAGUCAUGCCCGGCUGGAGCCUGGGUGACUGUGUUUCCCCAUGUGAGACCAGGGGAUGGGUGAGCCAGGCCUGUGAGGUAUAAGGCAAUGUCUGCAAGGGCGUCUGGGGAAGAUGCCCC